AUAGCGUAUAUUAAAGUUGUUGUGGUUAAAAAGCUCGUAGUUGAACCUUGGGCCUGGCUGGCCGGUCCGCCUCACCGCGUGUACUGGUCCGGCCGGGCCUUUCCCUCUGUGGAACCCCAUGCCCUUCACUGGGUGUGGCGGGGAAACAGGACUUUUACUUUGAAAAAAUUAGAGUGCUCCAGGCAGGCCUAUGCUCGAAUACAUUAGCAUGGAAUAAUAGAAUAGGACGUGCGGUUCUAUUUUGUUGGUUUCUAGGAUCGCCGUAAUGAUUAAUAGGGACGGUUGGGGGCAUUAGUAUUCAGUUGCUAGAGGUGAAAUUCUUAGAUUUACUGAAGACUAACAUCUG
rnacentral:rRNA from 1 species